UUGUGGCUCAGUGGUAGAGCGCUUGCCUAGCAUGUGUGAGACACUGGGUUUGAUUCCCAGCAA
rnacentral:tRNA from 1 species